UAAAACGCAGUAAAUAAAUUUAGUAGCAAUACUCGGAUAGCCAUAUAAGGCGUUAUUGUUGGUAAUUUUUAUUAGUAAGUUUAUUUAUUUAUAUUUCAGUGAUUUUAAGUCAUUAGAGCAAAAAUAUAUUGAAAAUGGAAUUUCAGAUCGCACUUUAGACGUAAAUAAUUUACCACAAGAAGAUGUUGAUGAGUGGUACUUAGUAAUUUUCAAAAUAAUUAAAGCUCAUUUACGUUAUCCUGUAUUAAUGGUUAAAAUUAAUGAUUUCAAACGAUGCUUACAAGAAUUAAGAAUGGAAAAUGAAUAAAUUAAAAAUUUAUAUGCAGUACUUUAUGCUUAAAACGUUCAUCACUAAUUAAUAGUUUAUCGUAAAAAAUUACAUUAAUUCCUACAUUAAAGUCAUGUUGUUGGACAGAUAUAACAGUAUCAAUCAAUGUUAAAUCAUCAUCAUGUAGCGGAACCAACAUUAUAAAUGAAGUCGACAUUAUUGUGGAGUAUCAGUAAAAAGUAUUUAUUCGAAUCAAAUCUUGGCAAAUUAAAUUUCAUAAGAUAUAUGGUCGUAACUUUGCCACAAAAUAUAUAUGAUAACGAAGAACAUUAAUAAAAAUCUGUUCAUUAAUUGAAUUGAAUUUAAUUAUUUUAUGUUUAUAUAUUAA